AUGCACGCUGGCGGCGUGCCUCAUACAUGCAAGUCGAGCGCACAGAUAAGGAGCUUGCUCCUUUGACGUUAGCGGCGGACGGGUGAGUAACACGUGGAUAACCUACCUAUAAGACUGGGAUAACUUCGGGAAACCGGAGCUAAUACCGGAUAACAUAUUGAACCGCAUGGUUCAAUAGUGAAAGGCGGCUUUGCUGUCACUUAUAGAUGGAUCCGCGCCGUAUUAGCUAGUUGGUAAGGUAACGGCUUACCAAGGCAACGAUACGUAGCCGACCUGAGAGGGUGAUCGGCCACACUGGAACUGAGACACGGUCCAGACUCCUACGGGAGGCAGCAGUAGGGAAUCUUCCGCAAUGGGCGAAAGCCUGACGGAGCAACGCCGCGUGAGUGAUGAAGGUCUUCGGAUCGUAAAACUCUGUUAUCAGGGAAGAACAAAUGUGUAAGUAACUGUGCACAUCUUGACGGUACCUGAUCAGAAAGCCACGGCUAACUACGUG
rnacentral:rRNA from 1 species